ACACAGGCUGUCUCCAUGCCCGUUAAAAACUCCCAUUCUUAAAACAUGAGUGAAGUGUUGACACAGGAUAUGUAAGCUGCAAUGGGCCGGCUUUUCCUUCUGCUUUGAACAUGGCAUGUUGCUUCAUCUGUUCUUUGUCAAAAGAUUAAAAUCUCUCCACAAUCAGUCUGCAAAAGAAUCUGCAGCUGUUACAUUCGUUGGAGUACUGCUAUAUUUUAGUCUUUGACAGCAAAGUUGCUCUAAUAAAACAUGGCAGAGCUAGCAGGAACACAGAGUGUGGAUGUGACCAUCAAUUACUUGAAGACACGUAAAGGAAUGACUAUGGCAGGUGAAAUAGCUCUCUGUUUAUUUUCCAUCAUUGGCAAAACUGUUCCCGUGAAUUUGGGUUGCUACAUCAUUGUACCCAUUGCUGAGAUGGUGUUGGGGAUUUUCAUGCUAAUUGUCUUUACAAUGGGAUUGGAAAAGACUUCCUUUGAGGUCCACUGGCUUUUUUGUGACCUCCUCAGAGUUGUCACAGGGUCAGUCUUACUGUUGAUCACCUCCAUUAGAUGUUUCAUCAUCCUGAUUGCGAGCUCAGUUAUGAUGCUUUUAAUGGGAGAGGUCUUUGCAUUAUGUGCUGGAUGCUUGUUUGGUUAUGAUGCGUUCUUAGUUUAUUCUACAAUAAAGAAUAAAAAUACAUCCACAACUGACCAGGAUCCAUCUGACCAAUAUCCAUCUGGACAAGAUGAACAGUCCUAAUCUCAGGGCAUGUUUGUCUUGAAGACGGCACAACCAAGAUAUGAGGACGGAACCACAACAAAAAAUGUUAUUGGAUGAUUAAAAGUCUUAAAGGAGAA